rnacentral:rRNA from 1 species
AACGCUGGCGGCGUGCCUAACACAUGCAAGUCGAACGAGAAAGUGGAGCAAUCCGUGAGUACAGUGGCGUACGGGUGAGUAACACGUGACUAACCUACCCUCGAGUGGGGAAUAACCUCGGGAAACCGGGGCUAAUACCGCAUAACAUCUACGGAUCAAAUGCGUAAGCAGCUUGAGGAGGGGGUCGCGGCCGAUUAGCUAGUUGGUGAGGUAAUGGCUCACCAAGGCAAUGAUCGGUAGCCGGCCUGAGAGGGCGCACGGCCACACUGGAACUGAAACACGGUCCAGACUCCUACGGGAGGCAGCAGUGGGGAAUUUUGCGCAAUGGGGGAAACCCUGACGCAGCAACGCCGCGUGGAGGAUGAAGCCCCUUGGGGUGUAAACUCCUUUCGAUCGGGACGAUUAUG